rnacentral:rRNA from 1 species
UACUUUAACAGGUCAAAAUCAAACCAACCCAUACGACUCCAAACCUGAACAAUAACCGAUAGUUUAUAUUGUUUUACCAACGUGUAACACAACACAAAGACAGAUUGAACAUAUUCCUAUUUUUAGUAGGUCGGCGACUACAACCCCUUAACACCACAGACAGAUGGACUACGUGCGCAACGUCCCUCGUACCAUCUCACCGAUCAUCGAGCGUCGAUAAAUGAACUAUAGUGUUGUGUCCCUCUAAGCGUACUGAAUGACAAAGAGGGACAUUAGAAUCUCGAAUUCAUGGUAAAGACCCUUAACGGACGUUCACGAAGGGAAACUCCACACUCGAUGUCCUUAUAUACGUAGGUUAAGGUGACUUUUCUCACAAACGAACCUCAAUCUAGUGGAUUAGAUAAAGAAACAAGCUAAACCUCGUCGUCCGCAGGAGGUACCUGCUGUAACUGCUCCUUGUACACCAUGGCGUGCGGACUCGACAACUCGAGCUGCUCCUGUAGUAGCUCAGGCGGGGUUGUACCUGUCACUCCUGCUGCUAGGCGUGUUCCUUUCACUCCCUAACCUCCCUGGUCGAGCCACGUCUACCGAGACCUCUAGACACCCCAUAAGAUCAUCUCACCACCGACGUGCGUACUGCGAACUAGUCCAGUUCCACCUCCUAUAUCUGUGGUUACAACGACAGGACUUCCGUCCUUGACAACAAAGGAAACAAACUUUAUCCGUUUUCCGAACAGAAAAACCGGCUCACGCUGAGUUCAGAAUUGCAAAAAACGAGACGAAGGAGAUGUAUAAAAAUGUCUCCGAACUAUACCAUGUAAAAGGGGCCGAAAAACCAGCCGAGGUGGAAGUACGACACCUUGUUCGUGGUACCGUUGUUCGUCGAGUAACCUCGUAAACUUCAGUGUUGGGGAGGAACCACCGCUUGGCAGCUCGUAGGGGAACGAGUCGUCCUUCGGUAGAACGUCGAACUCCGUGUGCCGGUUCGACCCUUGUAAAAAGAGGAGUUCGAAGCCAAGGAGCACGAGCGUCGAAAAGGAGUCUCGUGUUUGUUUCAACGCCACCGCUACGAGCAGCACCGACGUUGUAAACACAAAUACGGCAAGACCUCGUAUCGGUACCAGCAAGACAACCUCCGAAUGUACUCUGUAUACAGCAACUCCUUCUUCUCGUCGCUCUUCGACCACUCCUCCAAAGAACGUACCUACUAAACAGAGACAGAAAUCUCGACUCGACUUACAUCUACGAACCUUCGUCUUCGCACCGGUACGUUUCGAAGUCAACCGCUUCCGUAGACUGUGUACGACGGGACCAGAUAACAUCAUAGUCGGGCGAAGUAGCUCUAUACCUACGAAAAGAAACCACUUUUUCCCUGCAAGACCUCCUACCACUCCUGCCGCUCUUUCUUCAAUAUAAACGACCUCUACUACGUGAGUGUUGGUAACCCACUAAGAGGGCCUCCCGCUUCGCCCCGCUCUUCUGCCCGGUUACCUCGAGCCUCGAGAUACCCCUUCAGACCACCAAACGAAAUAUGAAACUAAAAGUGUACACUUACCCUGUGCGACAAGGCCACAAAACGCCACACGAGUACAACAUAGGUUGUCUAUAGUUUUGUUCCACUACAAACAAAAAACUGAGCCUUGGUCUUAUAGGUUACAUACUACUUGACUACCUAGUAGUAGAAGGUUGGUAGGACCACAAACCAUUUAUUUUAAACUAGAACGAGGUCAACGGGGACAUCAUUAUCCCUACAGCACCAUUAAAGGUCUCGGUGUUUACAUGACCAUCGUCGUAACAACAUUUGAAACACUUAGGACCACAACCAGCUACAGUUCGAUCUCUUCAUAAAGACCAUAUCGUUUAUCUAACCGACCGACAAUC